rnacentral:lncRNA from 1 species
GCCGUGUACAAAUGCACUGGAUCUCGGCCUGCAAUGUAGUGUCGGUGGCAGAUGUUUCUUGUGCGUAGUUGAACAAUAAAUAUUCACAGCCUGCACGUUAACUAUUAGCGGACUGUGGGUCUCUCUGUCUCAUCUUUCUUCCGUCUCUCGUCGUGCAUUAUCAGUGAUUUUGCUGUGGGAAACACCGGCUCACACUGCAUCCUUCGCCCUUCCACAGGUUUCACGUUAGUGGGGCUGAAAAACCUGUCUACAUGCUUCGGCCCUCCCAAAUUUUGUAUGAUGAUAUUAC